rnacentral:rRNA from 1 species
CCAGACUCCUACGGGAGGCAGCAGUGAGGAAUAUUGGUCAAUGGGCGGAAGCCUGAACCAGCCAAGUCGCGUGAGGGAAGAAGGCCCUGCGGGUCGCAUACCUCUUUGGACGGGGAGCAAGGCCGCCGACGUGUCGGCGGAAGGAGAGUACCCGUAGAACAAGCAUCGGCUAACUCCGUGCCAGCAGCCGCGGUAAUACGGAGGAUGCGAGCGUUGUCCGGAAUCAUUGGGCGUAAAGAGUUCGUAGGCGGUAUGUUAAGUCUGGUGUUAAAUGCAGAAGCUCAACUUCUGGUCGGCACUGGAUACUGGCAAACUAGAAUGCGGUAGAGGUAAAGGGAAUUCCUGGUGUAGCGGUGAAAUGCUUAGAUAUCACGCAGAACUCCGAUUGCGAAGGCAGCGCACCGGCGCCCUACUGACGCUCAGGCACGAAAGCGUGGGUAUCGAACAGGAUUAGAUACCCUUGUAAG